rnacentral:misc_RNA from 1 species
AGGUUUUGGAGAUUUUAGAAGAUUGUGAAGGGAAAACUUUGAAGUUCAUUAGUGAAGUUGAAGAGAAGGAUGGAAAGCUGUGGUUCGGGUCAGUUCUAAUGCCGUUCGUCGGUGUUUAUGAACCCAAGUAGGCUCAUCUUAAGCUAUUUCUCGAAACACGAUUCGAGUAGAUAGUUCACUCUUGCUUCUUCUUGUAAUUUUAGUUUUCCUUUCUGAAAUAGAGCAG